rnacentral:rRNA from 1 species
AGUGAACGCUGGCGGUAGGCCUAACACAUGCAAGUCGAACGGCAGCACAGUAAGAGCUUGCUCUUACGGGUGGCGAGUGGCGGACGGGUGAGGAAUACAUCGGAAUCUACUUUUUCGUGGGGGAUAACGUAGGGAAACUUACGCUAAUACCGCAUACGACUACGGGUGAAAGCAGGGGAUCUUCGGACCUUGCGCGAUUGAAUGAGCCGAUGUCGGAUUAGCUAGUUGGCGGGGUAAAGGCCCACCAAGGCGACGAUCCGUAGCUGGUCUGAGAGGAUGAUCAGCCACACUGGAACUGAGACACGGUCCAGACUCCUACGGGAGGCAGCAGUGGGGAAUAUUGGACAAUGGGCGCAAGCCUGAUCCAGCCAUACCGCGUGGGUGAAGAAGGCCUUCGGGUUGUAAAGCCCUUUUGUUGGGAAAGAAAAGCAGCAGGUUAAUACCCCGCUGUUCUGACGGUACCCAAAGAAUAAGCACCGGCUAACUUCGUG